AGCGAACGCUGGCGGCAGGCCUAACACAUGCAAGUCGAACGAAGUCUUCGGACUUAGUGGCGGACGGGUGAGUAACACGUGGGAACGUACCUUUUGGUUCGGAACAACUCAGGGAAACUUGAGCUAAUACCGGAUGAGCCCUUAGGGGGAAAGAUUUAUCGCCGAAAGAGCGGCCCGCGUUAGAUUAGCUAGUUGGUGAGGUAAAGGCUCACCAAGGCUACGAUCUAUAGCUGGUCUGAGAGGUUGAUCAGCCACACUGGGACUGAGACACGGCCCAGACUCCUACGGGAGGAAGCAGUGGGGAAUCUUGCGAAAUGGGCGAAAGCAUGAGGCAGCCAUGCCGCGUGAAUGAUGAAGGUCUUAGGAUUGUAAAAUUCUUUUACCAGGGACGAUAAUGACGGUACCUGGAGAAAAAGCCCCGGCUAACUUCGUGCCAGCCGCCGCGGUAACAC
rnacentral:rRNA from 1 species